rnacentral:rRNA from 1 species
CGCGUAGGUGGUUUGUUAAGUUGGAUGUGAAAGCCCCGGGCUCAACCUGGGAACUGCAUCCAAAACUGGCAAGCUAGAGUACGGUAGAGGGUGGUGGAAUUUCCUGUGUAGCGGUGAAAUGCGUAGAUAUAGGAAGGAACACCAGUGGCGAAGGCGACCACCUGGACUGAUACUGACACUGAGGUGCGAAGCGUGGGGAGCAAACA